ACAUUCUGAGGUCAUGGCACGCAUCACAAUGGGGCCUUGCCCGGGUCAGCAGUGCCCAGAGUCAGGGUCCUCCGCUGCCUGAGGCGUCAACAUGCCUGCCUGCAAUGUGUUUGUGCAUGGCCUAGGGGAUGCCAAAUUCCAGGGUCCAGAAAGAGCUUGGGAUAAAAUGAAACUUCAAGGGGACGGCUUUGACCUGGGCUGAGUCUGCCUGUGCCGAGUCUGCCUGUGCCAUCCAACUGGAGUCUCAAGUCCUGAGGCAGUACGUCCAGAUGCCCCAGUGCAGGGUCCUCCUGAUCAACACCUGCUCCCCUGUACUCAUUAGCAACCUCACCCACCCUACUCUCAAAGCACACUUGGCUCUCAUAUCCAGGAGCUCUGCAUCUGUGGAUUCAGCAACAGCAGAUGGAAAAUAUUCAGAAAAUAAAUUGGACGGUUAUGUUUCUAUUGAA
rnacentral:lncRNA from 1 species